rnacentral:rRNA from 1 species
UACGGGGGGGGUAAGCGUUGUUCGGAAUUACUGGGCGUAAAGGGCUCGUAGGCGGCCAACUAAGUCGGACGUGAAAUCCCUCAGCUUAACUGGGGAACUGCGUCCGAUACUGGAUGGCUUGGAUUUGGGAGAGGGAUGCGGAAUUCCAGGUGUAGCGGUGAAAUGCGUAGAUAUCUGGAGGAACACCGGUGGCGAAGGCGGAUCUCUGGGCCAUUACUGACGCUGAGGAGCGAAAGCGUGGGGAGCAAACAGG